AGAAUCAACGCUGGCGGCGUGCCUAACACAUGCAAGUCGCACGAGAAAGUGGAGCAAUCCAUGAGUACAGUGGCGCACGGGUGAGUAACACGUGAAUCAUCUACCUCCGAGUGGGGAAUAACCUAGAGAAAUCUGGGCUAAUACCGCAUAACACUUACGAGUCAAAGCAGCAAUGCGCUUGGAGAGGAGUUCGCGGCCGAUUAGCUAGUUGGCGGGGUAAUGGCCACCAAGGCGAUGAUCGGUAUCCGGCCUGAGAGGGCGCACGGGACACACUGGAACUGAAACACGGUCCAGACUCCUACGGGAGGCAGCAGUGGGGAAUUUUGCGCAAUGGGGGAAACCCUGACGCAGCAACGCCGCGUGGAGGAUGAAAUCCCUUGGGAUGUAAACUCCUUUCGAUAGGGAAGAUAAUGACGGUACCUAUAGAAGAAGCCCGGCUAACUUCGCGCCAGCAGCCGCGGUAA
rnacentral:rRNA from 1 species